rnacentral:rRNA from 1 species
UGGGGAAUAUUGCACAAUGGAGGGAACUCUGAUGCAGCGACGCCGCGUGAACGAAGAAGGCUUUCGAGUCGUAAAGUUCUUUUAUAUGGGAAGAUAAUGACGGUACCAUAAGAAAAAGCCCCGGCUAACUACGUGCCAGCAGCCGCGGUAAUACGUAGGGGGCUAGCGUUGUCCGGAAUCACUGGGCGUAAAGGGUUCGCAGGCGGAAAUGCAAGUCAGGUGUAAAAGGCAGUAGCUUAACUACUGUAAGCAUUUGAAACUGCAUAUCUUGAGAGGAGUAGAGGUAAGUGGAAUUUUUAGUGUAGCGGUGAAAUGCGUAGAUAUUAAAAAGAAUACCGGUGGCGAAGGCGACUUACUGGGCUCAUUCUGACGCUGGGGAACGAAAGCGUGGGUAGCAAACAGG